ensembl:snRNA U6 U6 spliceosomal RNA
GUGCUCGCUUUGGCAGCACAUAUACUAAAAUUGGAAUGAUACAGAGAUUAGCAUGGUCCCUGCGCAAGGAUGACAUGCAAAUUCGUGAAGUGUUCCAUAUUUUA